ensembl:lncRNA
UGUUACUGCUCAGCCGGUAGCUUCGUUCUACCUGAGAAACUAAAGGAUCAAAGUGACCUCUCCAAAGCCUCGCCGUUAAAGGAAAGAUCUCUUCAGUCAAUUGGUCGGGUGGAGGGGAGCAUGUAUACACUGACUGUUGGAGGAGGGGAUUGUAGAGGGGGAGAUCUCCCUGUGGCAUUUCAAGAUGGGGCUUGGCUUUAGCCUGAGGUUUCUUUGUUUCUUCUUCUGGGGUUUUGCAGAUUGAGGGCACACUCUUUUUAAUUUGAUCCUUCUUUUUUUUGUUGCUCCCAACCCUUUGGUGGCUCAUAAAACACUUGCGUAUCACACACACACUCCACAUGCUGCCUGCUGCCUAGGCCACUCCAACCCUGUCAUGUUCAAAGCCCAGCCUUCACCACAAAGUUUUAGCUUUUUAAUGAACUUCUCUUCUCUGGAUGGACUUGGCGAAUGUUUGACCUCAGUGACGUGUAGAGCAUCUGUGUAUGCAAGCACACUCAUGUGUUUUUAUCUGUUUGAGUCAAGGCUUCAAGGCUUUUCUGAGCUUAGCUACUGCUCAGACAUCCACCCAGGGGUUGUGGGCGCGUAGGCUAGAUACAAUGCAGGGAUAGAUUCUCAUGUCUUUGACUGUUUGUCUGUACACACAAUGUGAGGUUAGCUUGGUUUUACUCCCUGUUUUGAACAUUUGUCCAAAUACAGGCUGACCUUUGACAUGUAAUUUCAUUGGGAGUGGAAGAAAGUGAUUGAAUGUUUAAUUUGGCAAAGCUUUUGUUUUCAACUUGACCUUCUUUGGAAUGGAAAUAUAUUAAGUUAUUGUUGUGCCUAUACUGCCUUCAUUUCAUUUGAAUCCUUUAUGGUUUAUUCUUCUGCUUAUGUAUAUAUGUUCAUGGUUUUUAUGUGUGAUGAUUCAUGUGUUGAUUUAAGUCCUGAAGGCCCCUGGAGAGAAAGGUUGGUGCCUAAUGCCUUUUUAUGUCCUUCUUUUUAAUAUUUAUGAUUUUGUUGCUUGUUUUUAAACCAGCACAGUUGACUUAAGGUGAAUUGUUUAGCCUUAUACACACAGACUCUUGUAGCAACUUAAGUUACAAUGUACCUGAAAAUUGUAUUUCACUGGAAAAUUACAUGGGUAGUACUAAGCAGGCCAGAAUCAUAGUCAAUGUUAUUGUUUUGAAAAUAUGCUGGCUUUUUUUAUUCUUUAUUAAAAAAACAAAUGUUUUGUA